rnacentral:rRNA from 1 species
UACGUAGGGUGCGAGCGUUGUCCGGAAUUAUUGGGCGUAAAGGGCUCGUAGGCGGUCUGUCACGUCGGGAGUGAAAACUCGGGGCUUAACCCCGAGCCUGCUUCCGAUACGGGCAGACUAGAGGUAUGCAGGGGAGAACGGAAUUCCUGGUGUAGCGGUGAAAUGCGCAGAUAUCAGGAGGGACACCGGUGGCGAAGGCGGUUCUCUGGGCAUUACCUGACGCUGAGGAGCGAAAGUGUGGGGAGCGAACAGG